AACGAACGCUGGCGGCAGGCUUAACACAUGCAAGUCGAACGCAUCCUUCGGGGUGAGUGGCAGACGGGUGAGUAACGCGUGGGAACGUGCCCUUCAGUUCGGGAUAACCCAGGGACACUUGGGCUAAUACCGGAUACGAGCGAGAGCAGAAAGAUUUAUCGCUGAAGGAUCGGCCCGCGUCUGAUUAGCUAGUUGGUGGGGUAAUGGCCCACCAAGGCGACGAUCAGUAGCUGGUCUGAGAGGAUGAUCAGCCACAUUGGGACUGAGACACGGCCCAAACUCCUACGGGAGGCAGCAGUGGGGAAUAUUGGACAAUGGGCGCAAGCCUGAUCCAGCCAUGCCGCGUGAGUGAUGAAGGCCUUGGGGUUGUAAAGCUCUUUCGUCCGGGACGAUAAUGACGGUACCGGAAGGAGAAGCCCCGGCUAACUUCGUGCCAGCCGCCGCGGUAA
rnacentral:rRNA from 1 species